UACGUAGGUGACAAGCGUUAUCCGGAAUUACUGGGCGUAAAGCGCACGCAGGCGGCUGAGUAAGUCUGACGUGAAAUCUCCCGGCUUAACCGGGAGCGGUCGUUGGAAACUACUUGGCUUGAGGCGAUGAGAGGGGUGUGGAAUUCCCGGUGUAGUGGUGGAAUGCGUAGAUAUCGGGAGGAACAUCAGUGGCGAAAGCGGCACCCUGGCAUUAGCCUGACGCUCAGGUGCGAAAGCGUGGGGAGCGAACGGGAUUAGAAA
rnacentral:rRNA from 1 species